rnacentral:rRNA from 1 species
UACGGGGGGGAGCAAGCGUUGUUCGGAUUUACUGGGCGUAAAGGGCGCGUAGGCGGCGCAACAAGUCACUUGUGAAAUCUCCGGGCUUAACCCGGAGCGGUCAAGUGAUACUGUCGUGCUAGAGUGCGGAAGGGGCUACUGGAAUUCUCGGUGUAGCGGUGAAAUGCGUAGAUAUCAGGAGGAACACCAAUUGCGAAGGCAGCUCGCUGGGGACGUUACUGACGCUGAGACGCGAAAAGCGUGGGGGAGCGAACAGG